rnacentral:rRNA from 1 species
AGGAGGCAGCAGUGAGGAAUAUUGCACAAUGGGGGAAACCCUGAUGCAGCGACGUCGCGUGAGGGAAGAAGUUUUUCGGAAUGUAAACCUCUGUCCUAUGAGACGAAAGAAAUGACGGUAUCAUAGGAGGAAGUCAUGGCUAACUACGUGCCAGCAGCCGCGGUAAUACGUAGAUGGCGAGCGUUAUCCGGAAUGACUGGGUGUAAAGGGUGCGUAGGCGGCAUAUCAAGUCAGAUGUGAAAUACCCGUGCUUAACAUGGGAAAUGCAUUUGAAACUGAUAAGCUCGAGUACAGGAGAGGAAAGUGGAAUUCCUAGUGUAGCGGUGGAAUGCGUAGAUAUUAGGAGGAACACCAGUGGCGAAGGCGACUUUCUGGACUGUAACUGACGCUGAGGCACGAAAGCAUGGGGAGCGAACAGGAUUAGAUACCCCGGUAGUCCA